AUUGAACGCUGGCGGCAUGCCUAAUACAUGCAAGUCGAACGAGAUCUUCGGAUCUAGUGGCGCACGGGUGCGUAACGCGUGGGAAUCUGCCCUUGGGUUCGGAAUAACAGCGGGAAACUGCUGCUAAUACCGGAUGAUGACGUAAGUCCAAAGAUUUAUCGCCCAGGGAUGAGCCCGCGUAGGAUUAGGUAGUUGGUGGGGUAAAGGCCUACCAAGCCUACGAUCCUUAGCUGGUCUGAGAGGAUGAUCAGCCACACUGGGACUGAGACACGGCCCAGACUCCUACGGGAGGCAGCAGUAGGGAAUAUUGGACAAUGGGGGCAACCCUGAUCCAGCAAUGCCGCGUGAGUGAUGAAGGCCUUAGGGUUGUAAAGCUCUUUUACCCGGGAUGAUAAUGACAGUACCGGGAGAAUAAGCCCCGGCUAACUCCGUGCCAGCCGCCGCGGUAA
rnacentral:rRNA from 1 species